GUCGAUCAACACUUUUGACAAACGCAUCAUUCCUUCGGGGAUAUUGAUAAGCUUGUAGUACAAGCUCGUUGUUUAAGAAUAAUAUCUCAUUAAGUACCAAAUUCAGAAGAUUUUCUGACAUAAAUAAGCAAGUAAUCAAAUGUGUUAAGCUAGCAUUUUAGUGGAGAAUUUACGUAUCCCCAUAAUGUCAGAGCUGAGCGACACCGUGUUAAAUGAAGCUACAGGUCAAGUUAUUAACGGUAUUCCCCCAGCUUUAAUAAAAAACUUCAAUGCGUACGAAAUAUUAGAACCCAAAAAAGUCCCUACAAGCCCCUCAAGUACUUCGAGUGAGAACUUGCUGAUCGAUUUCGAAACUCCAGUGGACGGGUCCCGGUUUAUCGAAAAAGAAGAAGAAGGCUUUACAAUAAUAGAUUUAUAUCAAAAUAUUUUUGUUUCCCCUGAACUUGUCUCCAAAAAAAGUACGACACAAACAAACGUUGAUUAUGAAGAUUUCUUACGUAAACUAGAAUCUGGGAACAAGAUUGAUUCGGGCAAACAUUCUCAAAAAAUAACUUAUUCUCCAACGGCUAAACAAUUUGAAAUAAUUAAUCAUCCUGAAAUAGUUCGAGCUAAAGUCAACUCAUUGGAUUUUGAUUUUGCCCAUUUCGAUAAAAUUAAUCAACAGCAAUCGACAGUUACUGCAAAUGACAACGAAACAGAAUACAAACAAGAACCAUACCAAGAAGAGUUGAUUGACGAAGUUCUUUUGGAUAGAUCGGUGGAAAAGAACAAAUUAGCAAAUCGCAAAAAUAAAGAAGACUUUAAAGAUGUAAGAGUGUUGAGUCCACCGAUAAUAUCAAACAAUAGAAACAGUCGACGUACAUUUUCAUCGCAGCAGAAUUCGUCUAAAACUCAAGAAUAUUUAAAAUAUUAUCCAAACAACCCACGUCGAAAUGAAGGUCCUUCAACAAAUUUUAAUGAAAAUUAUUUCAAACAACCUCCAUAUUCCCGUGUAGAAGCUUUUGGAAACGGUCAUUUUAACAAAAGUGAGUCUUGGAAGAAAACGACACCGACCAGAAAUUAUAAUGAUAACAGUUCUAAAAACUCAAGAGUCCCUUGUCCACCACAUUCCCAUGGUGGGAAUGGAGUAUGCUCAAAUGAAGAAUCAUGUAAUCCAGCACCAACUUUUACCCCUGAUAAGAAUGGACAUUAUAACACUUUAUUUCAAUACCUUAAAAUGAGGGCCAGAGCAUACCGAAAACUCCUAAAAGAAAACGGCAUAGAGGACGAAGACGAAAACACUAAAUCCAAACCUUUUGUGUCUGACGUUAACGCUUUGAUCAAAUCAAAUGUGGACCCAGGUAAAAUGAUGAAAAUGCCCAUUGAAACUGUCACUAAAGACAAUAAGGAUUACGCUAAGAAUCGUAUACCAACUGAAGAAUAUAAAAAACGAGUGUAUACCAAAGGCCCCGAUGUCGACGAGAAACGUGUCGCUCUUCCGCAGCUAUUGAACAAAUUGAGUAUUCAAAAACAAGAGCGUGAAGCAAAAAGUAACGUCAAAAAACGUUUGAUUUUGCAUCCUGAGAGUGUAAACGAUACAGCAGACGGAAAUCAAGCGCCGAUGCCGGUAUUGGAGCCAACAGUUUUAAUGGAAGAUUGCAAUAAGGAGCGGCUGGUAUCGCUCAAAGUCAGACAGAAGCUAUCUGAACUUGUUCAAGGCGAUAUUUAAUUUAAUUAUAAUCAAUAUUUUGGUUGUUUCUAAUACCUACUUAAACACCAUUAAUUUAUAAACUAUUCAUAAUCUUCUUAAUGAAUUUAUAAAAAUAAUGUUUUAAAAGUAGCUGAUUAUUCUAGUAAUUUAGUUUUGUCGUUCUGUCGUAUAUCUUCCUUCUAGUGAGCUAUUGUUUUAAUUAAUUGGAUUCUUGACUAAGUAUUGUACCUAGGUACUUUUGUCACUGCAAAUGUUGGUAAAAUAACAGCAUAGAUUAUGCUGUACUUACUUGUUUAUCCUUUUUAAAUUUUUAGGGCUUAUAAUUUUGAUCUUAUUAUUUUAAAUUUUAAUAAUAUAAUAUUAUGAUCUUAUUAAUUUUCGACGGAACUGAUUCACUAUUCUAUUUUACAUAUUUUAUUCAAUGCAUUUAGUACUUUUAUCUUACAAUGUUUUACAAUUAUGUAACACAUUAUUUAACUUAACCUACUUUUUAUAUAAAAUUUUGUGAUAUAAGUAUGAUACUAAGGCCCAGAACAGACGGUGAAACGCAACUGCAACGAAACUGCAACUUUGUGAUGAUUCUGAUGAAUGAAACUGAAAGUUUCAAACUGGUCGCGUCAUGUGUGAUCUCUCAACGGACGCUAUGGCAGAAACUUAGAUGCAACUCAAAAGUAACUAGCAGUUGCAGUUACGUUGCAGUUGCGUUUCACCGUCUAUUCUGGGCCUAAAGGGUUUAGAGAGAAUCAGAUGCAACUUGAAACGUGUCUGCUCAUGAAAAUCCCAAACCCUAUCUUGUACUGACAUUAAAUAAGACUGAAACUCUAACUGAAAUUUAAUAUUUGAGCAUUUAUUAACAUUUAAACAAAAAAAUUCUUAUUUGCUUGAGUUACAUUAUUUUAAACAUUUAUUAGGACCUAUCAUCUAUUAAAAGAGAAGAAAUAUAAUAUAAUAUCUGUUUAGUUGAGGUUUAUCCCCCAAAUAGCUUAUAUUCGUGAAUUAUAAUAAUAAAACGAGUGCAACUUAGUAGUGAUAAGUGUAUUAAUUGACAUUUUAAUGAUAUACCUAAUUAAGUAUAAACAAAACAUUUUAUGUAAGAAACAGCAAGUUGUAUUGUGUGCGUUUGUUUUCUUUUACAAAACUACUUUUUGAUUAUGUGAAUGUCAGAAACUACAACUUAUCUACUAUUAUAAUAUUAUUAUGUUAACGUGUUUUUGAUUCUUAUGCAAUAUGUUCGUUCGUUCGUUCGUUCGUUUCAGCCAAAUGCAAUAUGUAAUGUAUUUUAAUUAGCUAUAAGAUAAUUAUAAUACUUUUGUAUACCUAUCUUAAUAAAAUAAUCGUAAAAUUA